CAUUUAUAUAUACACAACUUUUAUAACAACUGUCCAAAUUUUCCCACUUUAACAUUUGAGUUACUGUUCACGCCAAUAAUGAUGACAUUAACAGGUACAAAUUAAAAUAUAUAAAUAAGAGUGGAUGCUUUUAUUAAUGCAGAAAAAAAAACAUUUUAGAUAUAUUUUAUUACAUAUCAAAUCAUAGCGCAACUAAAUGUGUUCAUUUUGUUGUUAAGGUUGUAAGCCAACGAGAAGAACCAUCAGGACCCCACAGCGUCCAGAGCGCACAGACACAACUGCCUGCGCCUUUGCCUGACACACACACCCACACACCCACACUGAAAAAAGUCUAACAUUGCUGUUGUUCGUUUAAUGCGUAUUUUCUCGUUGAAAUAGCUUAAAAUUAUUAUUUUUUUCAUUUAAAGUAAACAUUUUAGUUUAUAUUUAUGGUUGAAUCCAUUUUUUUUUUUUACAUUGAUACAAUAUAAAUUGGCAGCGGGACAUUAAACUGAAUUUAUUAAUUUGAUCAGAGCAUUUUUAUUAGAUUAAGCAUGAUUUGCACAUGCGCAUUGUUGAGUUGGAGUUCCCGCUCUCUGAUACAAAAAAAAAAAAAAAAAAAAAACGACAGUUGAACUGUCUGUGAAGAACACAACACACGAUCUGUUGAGCGGCGGCCGUGACGGUACACUUCAACAGACGCCAGGCUGCGACACAGAACUACGAGCAACAUUGAUACAGAUCAAUGCAGAGUUCUUGCGAAUUACAACAGUUCCCUUGGAGACAAAGUUCUUGGUGCAGUUGGACAAGCACUCCACCAAACUGUUGGAGGUCAUCAGGAGCAAGGGAGGAGUUGUGAAAGAGAAGACCACCAGGACCUUGCAGGUUUUAGAUGAGGAAAAUGAGGUUGAAGAACUGGAGCAGGCAACCAUGGCGAUCUUUAUCACUGGGAAAGAGGAUCCUCUCCAUCCACCCAAAGACAUUAAAAUUGUCAUCGAUGGAACAGAGGUCCUGAACCAGUUGCCCUCGGUUGCAACUGCUUUUGCCAUGGUCUUUGGGCUCAUAUACACACUUAACCUAAAAUAUCCGAAAAGGCUGCAGUUCACCUUUGAAUUUGUGCAAAAGGUCCUGAUGGAGCUUGAUGGAAAAAAGAUGACCCCAAAAGUCACUAGACUGACCACCCAGCUGUACAGCACAGAGUAGGCAGAGCUGAAUUGCACAGACAUGUUUGAAUUUAUUUUCCAUUUGUGGUUGAAUUUUAUGGUGAUUUACAGCCAAAACUUUGGAUCCUUUUGUAAGAGGUUGCACUUACAAGGCUGCAUUUUCACAGCAGCAUUUACAAAUGUGGCUGCCCAAGUUCGAUGGCUACCAGCCUCAAAGGCCAAAGUAGGCCAAGUGUUAUGGACAACUUAUCAUAACAUUUCUGUGAAUUGCAGUGAUCCAUGCUUCUUUUUUUCUGUAGCUUUCGGCAGUCUGUAAAUAUAUACCUCAGGUUUUGUGUCAAAGCUAUUUGUACAGUCAAUCACAAAGCUCUUUCCCGUUUUGUGUGUUUUUCACGGCAUUCACGCUGAAAACCAAUGCUGCCGCUCAGUCUUUUGCCACUUAGCGGGCGUAACCGCAGUCGUAACGGUCGACGGUGACGUCACGUGCAUACCCACUAUACUUAAGAAUGCAAGAACAAAGGACGCAUGAAACCCAGCUAACAAAAAAACAGUAUGAUAACAUCUGAUGUAGCCCAGACAUCGUUUUAAGAUAUGAUUCCUCCCAUUAAUAAAAUUAACUCACAUAAAAUCCA